UCCCUGGUGGUCCAGUGGCUAAGACUCCACACUCGCAAAGCAGAAGGCCCAGGUUCGAUCCCUGGUCAAGGAA
rnacentral:tRNA from 1 species